rnacentral:tRNA from 1 species
AGGGCUAUAGCUCAGUUGGUAGAGCACCUCGUUUACACCGAGAACGCUUACGGUUC